GACGAAGGAUGCAAGCGUUAUCCGGAUUCAUUGGGUUUAAAGGGAGCGUAGGUGGCCUUAUAAGUCAGUGGUGAAAUCUCUGGGCUUAACCCAGAAAUUGCCAUUGAUACUGGAGGGCUUGAGUAUAGUUGCCGUUGGCGGAAUAUGACAUGUAGUGGUGAAAUACAUAGAGAUGUCAUAGAACACCGAUUGCGAAGGCAGCUGACGAAACUAUAACUGACACUGAGGCUCGAAAGUGCGGGGAUCAAACAGG
rnacentral:rRNA from 1 species